rnacentral:rRNA from 1 species
AUUGAACGCUGGCGGCAUGCUUUACACAUGCAAGUCGAACGGUAACAGGCCGCUAGGUGCUGACGAGUGGCGUACGGGUGAGUAAUGCAUCUGAACGUGCCCAGUCUUGGGGGAUCACUACUCGAAAGAGUAGCUAAUACCGCAUACCAUCUAUGGGUGAAAGCGGGGGACCGUAAGGCCUCGCGCGAUUGGAGCUGCCGAUGUCAGAUUAGGUAGUUGGUGGGGUAAAGGCUCACCAAGGCAACGAUCUGUAGCGGGUCUGAGAGGACGACCAGCCACACUGGGACUGAGACACGGCCCAGACUCCUACGGGAGGCAGCAGUGGGGAAUUUUGGACAAUGGGCGCAAGCCUGAUCCAGCAAUGCCGCGUGCAGGAAGAAGGCCUUCGGGUUGUAAACUGCAUUUGUACGGAACGAAACGGCUCUGGUUAAUACCCGGGGCUAAUGACGGUACCGUAAGAAUAAGCACCGGCUAACUACGUG